GCCCUUGCAGCCCUCGAAGUGGCUUCAGAGAGCAGGUCUGUAGAAGACAAGACGACCGAGUUCUGUUAGUGUGCAGAGGCUCUAUGCUUCGAAGCCUGGCCUGAGUCAGUAUUUGGUUUUGGACGUUCUCAGUUUCCUGGUCAAUAUAAAGGAGCCGAAUUGCCUCUUCUAGGGUUAUUGUUGGAGUUUUUUUGUUUUUGUUUUUUAAAGGAUAACCAGGCCGGAAGCAUAGCACAGUUGUCUACUUAAAGCAAAGAGCUCAAUACUUGUAACUACCCUUGUUCUUUGUGGGAGGUCAGAGCAGUGUUUGUUGCCUGCAUUGAUUCUGACCGGGCUGGUGUUCCACUGCACACACUGGGUGGCUCUGGUCUCAGAAGGGAGGGGACCCCCGCUGUGGCUGCAGCUCAGGCAGCCUUCUGAAGGGAAUCGGGAGCCCGAGCCUAGGCCUCAACUUUCUGAAACGCCUUAUUUCUCUCUUUCUGAAACCGUGGUUGUGUUCUGCAGGGAGACUAAAUGCAGCCUCAGAUUCAGAAAACUGCCUGAUGGAGACCACCUUCUGGUAUCCACCCGCCUACAUACCUAGCCCCUGAGUGAACCUCACAGUUUGGGAGAGACCGGCCUCAACUAGAAGGGUUCGCCGGAUGGCGGCGCGGUGACCGAGGACGACGCCCUAGGAAACUUGUAGACAGGGCAUGAAUGCGGAUUACGUGGAGAGCGGCCUUGCGGAACCCCGAGGCGGCAGCGAGAGGAGUUGAUGCCCUUGGUCCUGGAAAGAAAGAACUGCGGGUUGGGAGGAGAGAGAGGCGGGGCUCUUGGGGGGGGAGCGGAAAUACAGCGGGGAGGCAGCUCGUGGGGCCACCCGGGAGGCUGGUACGAGGCUCCCUCCACGUGCUCUGGGGGAGAUGGGGAAAGAUCAUCUGUGGUUAGGCCCCGGCUCCUUGAAACCAUUCCUUGGUCGCAGGAGCCUUUUUGCUCUAAGACUUGAAACUAGACGCUGCGGGCAGAGGCCGUGGUCUCUACAAAGGGCCCGCCAGCCCACCAAGGGAAGGAAGAGUGUGCCUGGUUUUGCUGUGGAUCCGAAGCUCAAACAUCCAGAGGUGGGAUCCAGGCCAACUUGCUUCAGAGCAGGCUGGACAGGACCGGGCCUGUAAGAAUUCUCUGGUGAACGCGCCAGUUUGUGGUAUCAAUGGCCUAAUCCCAUCUUUCCCAUCCCCAUCCCAGCACACCACUGGAGACUUCCACCCACCCUUUGAUUUUUGCCUAGCUGACGGACGAGUUCGGGGUCAUUUCCAAUUUCCCUUUCCAAAUUGCCUAGUCUUGACUUAUCCUGGUUUCUAAGUAGCGGGUACCCAACAAGGAUCCCAGGCAGGCCAACUCCAUCCAGGUAGCCUCCCUUUCCCGCGUCAGCAGCAGGCACCUGAGACACCCCACAGUCUGUGCGCUGCCAACUGUGAGCCGCCCUAGGGCAGAAAAACUGCUUAUCAGACACAGAAUCUAGCUCCACUUGUAUCCAGUUACUAGUAUGUUCUGGGGGCAUUUGUAUUCUCUUGUCUGAAAAGAUCUUAGAAAUCUUGGAUCCGUGCUCAAUUAACAAUAGGUUUUCCUAUCAGACAAUUCAGCCAAUUACUGUCAGAUAAAGUAAAUAUGAUUAUGCAGUUUGGGUUUUUGUCUCUAUGUCUGCCUGGGUUCAUCUCCAUCAUUUGGAACAUAUCACAAGCCCCUCCCGUGGGAUAUUUGAUUACAGAUCUUGCUGUAGUGGUGGCAAAUUCCCUGGGGGAUACUUUAUAGAGGCAUAUAUUACUAAAUAAAGCGACACCUGUAAUGUUAAUCAUUACAAUAAAUGCAUUACCAACUGAAAAUGUAAUUUUAAAA